UACGAGGGGGGCAAAUGUUGUUCGGAAUCACUGGGCGUAAAGGGAGCGUAGGCGGGCUUCUAAGUUAGGUGUUUAAUCCCGGGGCCCAACCCCGGUCAGGCACCUAAAACUGGGGGUCUUGAAUAGUGGAGAGGUCAGUGGAAUUGGGGGUGUAGCGGUGGAAUGCGUAGAGAUCCCCAAGAACACCAGUUGCGAAGGCGGCUGACUGGACACAUAUUGACGCUGAGGCUCGAAAGCAUGGGGAGCAAACAGG
rnacentral:rRNA from 1 species